CACACGUACUACAAUGCUACGGACAAAGGGCAGCAAACUCGCGAGAGCUAGCAAAUCCCAUAAACCGUGGCUCAGUUCAGAUCGUAGGCUGCAACUCGCNUACGUGAAGUAGGAAUCGCUAGUAAUCGCAGGUCAGCAUACUGCGGUGAAUACGUUCCCGGGCCUUGUACACACCGCCCGUCACACCAUGGAAGUUGGCCAUGCCCGAAGUCGUUACUCCAACCCUUGUGGAGGAGGACGCCGAAGGUGGGGCUAAUGACUGGGGUGAAGUCGUAACAAGGUAGCCGUACCGGAAGGUGCGGCUGGAUCACCUCCUAACAGGGAGACAACAAAAUGUUUAAUAUUAUUAUUUUGUCACCUUAGGUCGAUCGGUAUCUCACGUUCUUAAUUUGUUAAGAAUUUCAUUUCCUAAGUUUUUCUAGGUCACACCCAUUAUUUUUCCUGGGCCAUUAGCUCAGGUGGUUAGAGCGCACCCCUGAUAAGGGUGAGGUCCCUGGUUCAAGUCCAGGAUGGCCCAUAUCUCUAUGUUGGGGGUAUAGCUCAGUUGGUAGAGCGCCUGCUUUGCAAGCAGGAUGUCAGCGGUUCGAGUCCGCUUACCUCCACUGAUUACCACCUCUUCCAUAACUGAUAGAAAGGAAAUGUUUUGAGUUGUGAUCAUUAUUCUGAACGAAUCUAGCUUCCUAAUGAAAUCAUUAAGAUGCUGGACUCAUUGAAUUAAUUUCAUUGUUUUCAGAGAACCUUGACAACUGCAUAGAUUAUUUUUAAAGACAAUAAGCAUCUUUAAUGAUGCAGAUUUAUUAUUUGUGCAAAUGCAUUAAUAACAAUUCUAUUAAGCUGAUGCUUCAAUUUUUGAAGUUAUUGGUCAAGCUACAAAGGGCUCACGGAGGAUACCUAGGCACACAGAGGCGAUGAAGGACGUGGUUACCUGCGAUAAGUCUCGGGGAGUG
rnacentral:sRNA from 1 species